ACCUGGUUAUAUCCUGAGACAUUACCUGGUUAUAACCUAGUUAUAUCCCGAGACAUUACCUGGGUAUAACCUGGUUAUAACCUGGUUAUAUCCUGAGACAUUAC